rnacentral:lncRNA from 1 species
GUAGAAGAUGAGUACCGAGCUUUCCAGGAAGAAGCCAAGAAGCAGAUUGAAGAUUUGAAUAUGACGUUAGAAAAGCUAAGAUCAGAGCUGGAGGAAAAAGAAACAGAGCGGAGCGACAUGAAGGAAACCAUCUUUGAGCUUGAAGAUGAGGUGGAGCAGCACCGGGCUGUGAAGCUGCACGACAACCUCAUUAUCUCUGACUUAGAGAGUAAGUAACGCGGCGCCCGGGGCCUGUGUCCCUCAGCUCUGCUUGCUUGUGUGCCACGGUGAGAGUAGCGUUCUGACCAGCACGCGGUGUGUGACAGCGCAGCUGACUACAGACGCACUUGACAGGGCUGUGCUUCACCUCUAGUUGGGAAACUUGGGGUCACUGUGCUUUGUUCUGAAAUGUUCCCUAAAAGCAUUACUUGAACACUGUGUCUGAUGACUGAGAAUCUCUGGAGUGGAAAGCAAACAGAGUCAGUCAUUUUCCAGACCAUAAGAAAAACCAUUCAUUUACUUUUGGUGAUUGCAACUGAACAGAGUUUUAAAAAAAAAAAAAAAAA